UGGGGAAUUUUGGACAAUGGGCGAAAGCCUGAUCCAGCAAUGCCGCGUGUGUGAAGAAGGCCUUCGGGUUGUAAAGCACUUUUGUCCGGAAAGAAAUGGCUCUGGUUAAUACCUGGGGUCGAUGACGGUACCGGAAGGAUAAGGACCGGCUAACUACGUGCCAGCAGCCGCGGUAAUACGUAGGGUCCAAGCGUUAAUCGGAAUUACUGGGCGUAAAGCGUGCGCAGGCGGUUGUGCAAGACCGAUGUGAAAUCCCCGAGCUUAACUUGGGAAUUGCAUUGGUGACUGCACGGCUAGAGUGUGUCAGAGGGGGGUAGAAUUCCACGUGUAGCAGUGAAAUGCGUAGAGAUGUGGAGGAAUACCGAUGGCGAAGGCAGCCCCCUGGGAUAACACUGACGCUCAUGCACGAAAGCGUGGGGAGCAAACAGGAUUAGAUACCCUGGUAGUCCACGCCCUAAACGAUGUCAACUAGUUGUUGGGGAUUCAUUUCCUUAGUAACGUAGCUAACGCGUGAAGUUGACCGCCUGGGGAGUACGGUCGCAAGAUUAAAACUCAAAUGAAUUGACGGGGUCAUAGCUGUUU
rnacentral:rRNA from 1 species